rnacentral:rRNA from 1 species
ACGCUGGCGGCGUGCCUAAUACAUGCAAGUCGAGCGGACAGAUGGGAGCUUGCUCCCUGAUGUUAGCGGCGGACGGGUGAGUAACACGUGGGUAACCUGCCUGUAAGACUGGGAUAACUCCGGGAAACCGGGGCUAAUACCGGAUGCUUGUUUGAACCGCAUGGUUCAAACAUAAAAGGUGGCUUCGGCUACCACUUACAGAUGGACCCGCGGCGCAUUAGCUAGUUGGUGAGGUAAUGGCUCACCAAGGCAACGAUGCGUAGCCGACCUGAGAGGGUGAUCGGCCACACUGGGACUGAGACACGGCCCAGACUCCUACGGGAGGCAGCAGUAGGGAAUCUUCCGCAAUGGACGAAAGUCUGACGGAGCAACGCCGCGUGAGUGAUGAAGGUUUUCGGAUCGUAAAGCUCUGUUGUUAGGGAAGAACAAGUACCGUUCGAAUAGGGCGGUACCUUGACGGUACCUAACCAGAAAGCCACGGCUAACUACGUGCCAGCAGCCGCGGUAAUACGUAGGUGGCAAGCGUUGUCCGGAAUUAUUGGGCGUAAAGGGCUCGCAGGCGGUUUCUUAAGUCUGAUGUGAAAGCCCCCGGCUCAACCGGGGAGGGUCAUUGGAAACUGGGGAACUUGAGUGCAGAAGAGGAGAGUGGAAUUCCACGUGUAGCGGUGAAAUGCGUAGAGAUGUGGAGGAACACCAGUGGCGAAGGCGACUCUCUGGUCUGUAACUGAC